rnacentral:rRNA from 1 species
CAGUAGCCACGGAAUACGUAGGUGGCAAGCGUUGUCCGGAAUUAUUGGGCGUAAAGGGCUCGCAGGCGGUUUCUUAAGUCUGAUGUGAAAGCCCCCGGCUCAACCGGGGAGGGUCAUUGGAAACUGGGAAGCUUGAGUGCAGAAGAGGAGAGUGGAAUUCCACGUGUAGCGGUGAAAUGCGUAGAGAUGUGGAGGAACACCAGUGGCGAAGGCGACUCUCUGGUCUGUAACUGACGCUGAGGAGCGAAAGCGUGGGGAGCGAACAGGAUUAGAUACCCCUGUAGUCCCUGUCUCUUAUACA